rnacentral:rRNA from 1 species
CAGUCGCCGCGGGAAUACGGAGGGCGCGAGCGUUACCCGGAUUUACUGGGCGUAAAGGGCGUGUAGGCGGCCUGGGGCGUCCCAUGUGAAAGGCCACGGCUCAACCGUGGAGGAGCGUGGGAUACGCUCAGGCUAGAGGGUGGGAGAGGGUGGUGGAAUUCCCGGAGUAGCGGUGAAAUGCGCAGAUACCGGGAGGAACGCCGAUGGCGAAGGCAGCCACCUGGUCCACUUCUGACGCUGAGGCGCGAAAGCGUGGGGAGCAAACCGGAUUAGAUACCCCCGUAGUCCCUGUCUCUUAUAA